ensembl:lncRNA
GGACUCUGGACUCGAUUCUUUUAAGGCGUUUGGAGGUGCAGGAAAUGCCAGAUCCCAAAGGAAUUCUGUGUCUGUAACAUCAAGUGCAACCCCUUUAAAGCAAAGUCCUCUGAAUGGGGUUUUCCCAAGGAUAGACGCAGAUGGGACAUGGAAAAGCCUCAGUGAAGAUUUCCAGCCUUGACUCCACAGCUUUUGGAAAAGCUUAGUAGCCAAACAAUAUCAAAUUUCUAUCAGAUUUGUAUCAAAUACGUACGGUGUUUAAAUCUUGGACUCCUCAAUUCCCUGGGUGGGAAAGUCCUUGAAGUAGCCAAGCUGAGGCAUUCUUGAGAGUACCAAGAGUUGUGUCCUUAUGAUUCUUAAUGCAAUAUUUAAAUAGUUACUAUUGAGUUGAGACAGUAUCAAGGGUAUUUGUUAGAGUGGCAGAAAUGUUUUUUCACCUGGACGUGUGUUGGGAUAACCAACACUCCUUAUGUCAGAAUGAACUAGUCUUCCUUCUUUUCCCUUUUUUUCUUUCUAGAUUGUGGAUCAUUGGGGAGAAUAUUUGGGAUAAAGAAUUGAAAGACACAAGGGAAGCUUCAUGUUCCCAAGGGAAUGCUUUAGGUACCACAUGCAGCUUCUGAACUACAUGGAUAAUCCCGGCUCCCACAGAAACCUUCCAAAGCUGGAAGGGACAAGGAAGAAAAUUCCAGGAGCAGUGGGAAGUGCUUUCUCCCGGGUCUGGAUGGCACUGAGGUCAGAAAGAGUUCUAAAUAGUCCUGGGCUGGCAGUAGGAGAGGCACAAAGAAUAAGUCAGUGUUCCCGGAGUGGCUGCCGUUCCCUGUGUGUGGAGGGAGGAGGUCCAUGCUGGAGAGUGGGAGAAAGGUCCCUGCUGGUUGCUGUGUCCUCGGUGGGCAGAGAGCUCUGGCCUUGGCCAGAUGGGCUGGAAGAACCACUGAACUUGUACUAUCCUUGCCAAGAGCUUUGGUGUUUGAGCAGCCAAACCCAACCUGGUCCUGCCCAUGGUGUGGGUAAGUCACAGGUUCCUCUUCUCCUCUCUGCUGUGAUGAACUGUGUAAAAAUGCCAUUUCCAACAGCCUGGUCUGCUGGAAAAGGGGAGAAGGGAAGAGAAAGUGUGGUGCCACAGCUGUGUCCCACCAGGUUGUGUUUCCUUCCCUCUGAGGACAGAGUCACUGGGCCGAGAUGGGAUUGCUGUGAGUGCUUAGGUGAGCAAUCCAGGGAACAGAAAGCUUGGAACUGCAGCUGCUGCUGGAACCAGUGCCUUAGGUCUGCUUCAGGUUGCAAAGAUCAGGUCCUACAGUCCCAGAGUGAUUGAGGGAGAAAAAGGAAACUCGUGUAAUUCAUGUCAAAGCUUCUGUUCUUCCUCAUACAGUCUUUAAAUUCUGCACUCUGAGUGACUGUCCAAUAUCUUUCUGACAAGACUUGUCAGAGAUUUAGAUGGAGGAGUUGAAUUUGGGUCCAUUCACUACCAAAUCUUGCCAAGCCUGAAGGCCUGAGGUGAUGACUGCUCUCAACAAAGGCUCUUUAUUAAUCCUCUGUCAGAUUUCCCUCAGCACUGGGUAGGAAAGGUGAGGGUUUGGAUCAGGAAUUCUGCAAGCAGGGCUUGUGUGACCCUUGGCUUCCUGUGUGUGUGUCAGUGAGCCAAAAUCAGGAGCAAAGGUUGGUUUGGUUUUAAGAACUUCAAGUAACUUUAAAACAAAAUAAAUCAAAAUUUUCUUUUUUUUAAUUUUAGAUGCUGGAACUGCCUUUCUGGAUGUGUGCUGAGCUCUCGCUGCUGUGAACUGUGCGGCCUUUAUUGCUGCAGGGUUCUAUUCUUCUCACAGAGAAAUUGGAAAUAUUUAUUAAUUAGAGUGCAGAGAUGUUUUCUGAAACCUUUCCCUUUUUUCUGCCUUUUAAUGGUAGAUCUUCUCUUUUUGCCUCUGAAUUUAUGGUGAUUCUCAGAUGUCAUUUACUGGCCCAAAUUCCUUGCAGCUCCUGGGGCAGAGAGAAGCUUUUCCUGUUGCCGAGGUUCAGCGGGAAAAUGAUACUGUGUGUCGCACCUCCUUCAUACAUUGAACUGCUCUUUUUAUCUUAGAGCAUAGAUUUAGUUGAUCCUUUUUCAACAGAAUGUAGCAGGCUGAACUCACCUGAAUUACUAAACCAUGCUUUAGAUAGUUGAGGUUUUUAAAGGAAAAAAAAAAAGCUAACAACAGGCUUUUCAUCGCCAUACCUUUAAGGAAUGACAUGAAACAGUGUUUCUAGUCACACUAUUGUUGUAGAUGGAUAAUAAGAUAAUUGGCUCUCGCGAUUAAAAGAUAACUAUUGUGUGAAUAUUAAGAAAAGCUUUAAGUGAUGUAUGUAUAGUUAUGUUAUUGUAGUUUAGCUGUCCUCUCUUCUCCCCACAGUUCCCUUUCCCCCUGUAUUGCAGCCAUCAGGCAGCCUGGGCUGUCCAGGACAGGCACAAAGAAGCUGCACAGGUGUCCCUUGCAUGGGGCAGCUGGGAAUGGAAAAGCUUGGGGGUGCUCAGGGGGUGGGCAUGGCAACACCUGAGCUCCAAUCCAGUUACAAAGGAGUCUCCACUGAUAAAUGGCAAAGAAGAGCGGACUGACAGACUUUGGGAGGGACUGGGGCUGGCUGAUGCAACCCCCAGGGGUAUAAAAGACUGAGCACCCAUCUUUGAAGACAAACCAGCCAUGUGGUAUCCAUGAGGGCAGUUCCCAGCGCUGUGAAUUUUUCCUUAUGUAGUCCUUUGUUGUAUUUUUGUUAAGGUUUAACAAACCUUUUUAAAUUUUCAAGUUGAGCAGUUGUUUCUCACACUAUUAAACAAUGCGUGACUGUGUAGACCAAGAUAAGAAGUAAAUAUAAACAAUGUUUAGAAGCACAAUAAACAGCUUUUGCCAGAUUCACAUGGAAUCAUGCAGAGUCCUCUGUCUUCCCUCCUCAGUGUAACACACCCUACAGCUGUUGUGUUUAGUGAGGUAACAAUCUCUUUUAAAGUACUAUUUUCUAAAUCAAUUUAAGAUUAUUAAAGGAAACAUUUCAUGUCUUGGUUAGGUUUCACAGCUUACAUUUAGAAAAUGACACAUCUCUGUGUUUGUAAUAUCUUUUCUUGAGGUAUUUGAGUAAAGUCAUAAGUGAAUUUCCACUCUAAGGCUCUCAUAGAUGGUUUACUGUGUACAUCUGGAGCUUUUGGAUCUCUUUUGUGAAGGUUUCUCCCCUUGGUCAUGAUGGAUAUAUACAAUAUUAACACUAUUCAGCUGCAUUUGUAGAAUCCUUUUGUAAAGUUAAAAUAUUGAAAAUAUAGUGUAAAAUCAGUGUAAGAGAUGACGCACUGUAGGUUUCAUAGAAGUGAAAGGAAUUUAUGUUACUGUUAACAUAAUUCUUAUCAUUUGCAGAGAUGGUGAGAACAAUACUGGCUUAAUUAAACAUGGACAACAAUAUCUGGUAGAAAGGGUCUCAGAUCUCAGUUUCAGUCUGCCUCACUUGAUGGUACCUUAUUAGACAAGCGAAUAUAAAGUGUCCAUUUUGGUUUGGGUGUCUGUUUUCCUCUUGGAUGCUGUGGUACUUAAGUUUGGCAAAUUAGCACUUCCAUAAGCAUUCAUUUUGCAAAAGUCAGUUUUGGAUAAUAGUUGUGGACUAAGACAAUAACAUUCCUUUGUAUAAAUUGAAUAAUACUUUAAAGAAAUGAAUAGGCUAGGAGUUACGUACGAAAGAAACCAACAAGCAUUGUUGAAAGAAAAUGUGAAAUGUUACUGAAAUGCAAAACACUUUUGCUAAUAGCUGAAACUGGAAGGUUUUUGGAAGAGGAAAACAACACUUUACUGAAAAUAAAUGCAUAUUUGAGAAGAGAGGGAUGUAGCAUUGCCAAUUAUAACUAAAACUGUGAAGGCAUACACAGAAAUUAAUAUUGCGAUGGUACUUGCUUUUAUGAUAACUCUCUGUCAAGUCUGACGUUUGAUGACUUUAUCAAAGGAGUUUUUUUAAUUAGUCACUAGAAAUGGGUCCUGCGGACAGAAACUGCAGCCGCGGUUGCUAGGCACUGCAGUUGGAAAGCGGCAGUGGCGGGUUUGAGGUGCGGUAGGGAGCGGCGCUCCCCUCUGUUCGAAGGGGUUUGGCCGCCGGAGAGUCCCCCAGCCCCGGGGAGCCGCGGCCCCGGCCGGGACGGAGACCGUGGCUGUGGAUCUCGCUUGCCGGCAGAGCCUGGCUGGAGGAUACCUCGGUCCCGGGGGCUGCAGCUGUGGCAGCGGCUCAUCAGCAGCGGCGGGCACUGAACC